UACAGAGGUCCCAAGCGUUGUUCGGAUUCAUUGGGCGUAAAGGGUGCGUAGGCGGCGCGGUAAGUCGGGUGUGAAAUUUCGAGGCUUAACUUCGAAACUGCAUUCGAUACUGCCGUGCGUUAGAGGACUGGAGAGGAGACUGGAAUUUACGGUGUAGCGGUGAAAUGCGUAGAUAUCGUAAGGAAGACCAGUGGCGAAGGCGGGUCUCUGGACAGUUCCUGACGCUGAGGCACGAAAGGCCAGGGGAGGCAAACGGG
rnacentral:rRNA from 1 species